rnacentral:rRNA from 1 species
UACAGGGGGGGCAAGCGUUGUUCGGAAUUACUGGGCGUAAAGGGUUCGUAGGUGGCCAACUUAGUCAGACGUGAAAUCCCUCAGCUUAACUGGGGAACUGCGUCUGAUACUGGAUGGCUUGAGUGCAGGAGAGGAACGCGGAAUUCCAGGUGUAGCGGUGAAAUGCGUAGAUAUCUGGAGGAACACCGGUGGCGAAGGCGGCAUCCUGGACCGGCAUUGACGCUGAGGCGCGAAAGCCAGGGGAGCAAACGGG